UAAAUNAAAGACCCGUAUGAACGGCUAAAUGAGGAUUUAACUGUCUCCUUUAACCAAUCAGUGAAACUGAUUUUCUAGUACAAAAGCUAGNAAUAAUAUUAUAAGACGAGAAGACCCUGUGGAGCUUUAAAUCUUAACCAAAAUAUGUAUACCCCCUGUAUUUAUGAAACAAUAUUUUAAGUUGGGGCGACUUCGGAGAAAANCACAACCUCCGAGCACAAGAGGUNCAUUCCUAAAUCUAGGCCCACUAGCCUAGACUAACAUUGACCCAGCACUGCUGAUCAACGAACCAAGUUACCCCAGGGAUAACAGCGCCAUCUUCUUCAAGAGUUCAUAUCGACAAGAAGGUUUACGACCUCGAUGUUGGAUCAGGACACCCCAAUGGUGUAGCCGCUAUAAAG
rnacentral:rRNA from 1 species